AUCGCUUCUCGGCCUUUUGGCUAAGAUCAAGUGUAGUAUCUGUUCUUAUCAGUUUAAUAACCCCUCAAAAUAUUUUGAAGGGGGGAGUAACGCUCUGUUUUAUUUCACCUAUAAAGUCCAGGAAGCUGUCCUGAGUCACCUCAGGCAUGUUUCCCUUUACAGAUCAGCCUCUCAGUGAGCCGAAAGGGCUGGCCGUGU